GAUGAACGCUGGCGGCGUGCCUAAUACAUGCAAGUCGAGCGAACGGACGAGAAGCUUGCUUCUCUGAUGUUAGCGGCGGACGGGAGAGUAACACGUGGAUAACCUACCUAUAAGACUGGGAUAACUUCGGGAAACCGUAGCUAAUACCGGAUAAUAUUUUGAACCGCAUGGUUCAAAAGUGAAAGACGGUCUUGCUGUCACUUAUAGAUGGAUCCGCGCUGCAUUAGCUAGUUGGUAAGGUAACGGCUUACCAAGGCAACGAUGCGUAGCCGACCUGAGAGGGUGAUCAGCCACACUGGAACUGAGACACGGUCCAGACUCCUACGGGAGGCAGCAGUAGGGAAUCUUCCACAAUGGGCGAAAGCCUGACGGAGCAACGCCGCGUGAAUGAUGAAGGUCUUCGGAUCGUAAAACUCUGUUAUUAGGGAAGAACAGAUGUGUAAUUAACUGUGCACAUCUUGACGGUACCUAAUCAGAAAGCCACGGCUAACUACGUG
rnacentral:rRNA from 1 species